UACUAGAGUGGCGAACGGGUGAGUAACACGUGGGUGAUCUGCCCUGCACUCUGGGAUAAGCCUGGGAAACUGGGUCUAAUACCGGAUAGGACCAUGCUUUAGUGUGUGUGGUGGAAAGUUUUUUCGGUGUAGGAUGAGCCCGCGGCCUAUCAGCUUGUUGGUGGGGUAAUGGCCUACCAAGGCGGCGACGGGUAGCCGGACUGAGAGGUUGGUCGGCCACAUUGGGACUGAGAUACGGCCCAG
rnacentral:rRNA from 1 species